rnacentral:rRNA from 1 species
AGUGAACGCUGGCGGCGUGCUUAACACGUGCAAGUCGAACGAGAACGGAUUAUAGCUUGCUAUAAUUGUCAGCUAAGUGGCGCACGGGUGAGUAAUGUAUAGGUAAUAUGCCUCUUACUAAGGGAUAACAAUUGGAAACGAUUGCUAAUACCUUAUAUUCCUUUUUAUCAAAAGAUAAAAAGGGAAAGAUUUAUUGGUAAGAGAUUAGCCUGUAUUGUAUCAGUUAGUUGGUGGGGUAAUGGCCUACCAAGACAAUGACGCAUAACUGGUUUGAGAGAAAGAUCAGUCACACAGAAACUGGGAAACGGUCCAAACACCUACGGGAGGCAGCGGUGGGUAAUAUUGCACAAUGGACGAAAGUCUGAUGCAGCAUCGCCGCGUGGAGGAUGACACAUUUCGGUGCGUAAACUCCUUUUAUAUAAGAAGAUAAUGACGGUAUUAUAUGAAUAAGCACCGGCUAACUCCGUGCCAGCCGCCGCCGUAA